CACACCGCCUCCAUCUCCACGCGUGCAACAGCAACCCCGGGAGGAGCUCGAGUCGCAGCGGUGGUCCACGGCGCCAUCGUCGGCAAGAGGAGUGUGGGCUGCAGAGACGGCCAGCUCCGUCCGGCUUUCGCGCUGCCGUCCAUCCACCCGAGAAAUCAGCCCCCACGUCCUUGCCUUCAUCCUCUCUCGCUGUCACGCACACUCUCUCCUCGGUCCUCUCACACACGCGCUCGUGGCCGGAUAUUUGACACGGGUUCUUGAGGAAAGCAGGUACUGCAUUUUGUUUGUGUCAACUAUACUGAAUCUGCAAAGCCUUUUUUGUCUGCCGAGAAAUUCAUACUCUGCAUUAACGGAGGAGAGGCGAAAGCAUCACUCCAGGCACAACUGAAGGCCGUCA